UGGAGAGUUUGAUCCUGGCUCAGGACGAACGCUGGCGGCGUGCUUAACACAUGCAAGUCGAGCGGAAAGGCCCCUUCGGGGGUACUCGAGCGGCGAACGGGUGAGUAACUCGUGAGCAACC
rnacentral:rRNA from 1 species